AAUCCAUAGGUUAAUGAGGCGAACCGGGGGAACUGAAACAUCUAAGUACCCCGAGGAAAAGAAAUCAACCGAGAUUCCCCCAGUAGCGGCGAGCGAACGGGGAGGAGCCCAGAGCCUGAAUCAGCAUGUGUGUUAGUGGAAGCGUCUGGAAAGGCGCGCGAUACAGGGUGACAGCCCCGUACACAAAAGCGCAUGUGCUGUGAGCUCGAUGAGUAGGGCGGGACACGUGGUAUCCUGUCUGAAUAUGGGGGGACCAUCCUCCAAGGCUAAAUACUCCUGACUGACCGAUAGUGAACCAGUACCGUGAGGGAAAGGCGAAAAGAACCCCGGCGAGGGGAGUGAAAAAGAACCUGAAACCGUGUACGUACAAGCAGUGGGAGCCCCACCACUAAGCCAGUGGUGAACUCCACAUACGCAUCCUUUGCUGAGGAUACGGUUAACGGAGCGAAAGCGACGUUCAACCGCAAAAGAAGCAGAGGGGGCUUAGUGGUGGGGUGACUGCGUACCUUUUGUAUAAUGGGUCAGCGACU
rnacentral:rRNA from 1 species